GAGUGGGGAAUAACUUCGGGAAACCGAGGCUAAUACCGCAUAAUACCCACGGGUCAAAGGAGCAAUUCGCUUGAGGAGGAGGUCGCGGCCCGAUUAGUUAGUUGGCGGGGUAAUGGCCCCACCAAGACGGUGAUCGGUAUCCGGCCUGAGAGGGCGCACGGACACACUGGAACUGAAACACGGUCCAGACUCCUACGGGAGGCAGCAGUGGGGAAUUUUGCGCAAUGGGGGAAACCCUGACGCAGCAACGCCGCGUGGAGGAUGAAGUCUCUUGGGACGUAAACUCCUUUCGAUCGGGACGAUUAUGACGGUACCGGAAGAAGAAGCCCCGGCUAACUUCGUG
rnacentral:rRNA from 1 species